rnacentral:misc_RNA from 1 species
GAAAUGCGAUAAGUAAUGUGAAUUGCAGAAUUCAGUGAAUCAUCGAAUCUUUGAACGCACAUCGCGCCCGCCAGUAUUCUGGCGGGCAUGCCUGUUCGAGCGUCAUUUCAACCAUCAAGCCCCCGGCUUGUGUUGGGGACCUGCGGCUGCCCGCAGGCCCUGAAAAACAGUGGCGGGCUCGCUGUCACACCGAGCGUAGUAGCAUACAUUCUCGCUCAGGGCGUGCUGCGGGUUCCGGCCGUUAAACGACCUUCAUAACCCAAGGUUGACCUCGGAUCAGGUAGGAAGACCCGCUGAACUUAAGC